AUGACGUCUAGUCAGCAUGGUCCUUACAACCUGGGCUACACACGUGCUACAAUGGCAGGUAUAACGCGUCGCCACUCGCGAGAGUGCGCUAAUCGCUAAAAGCUUGUCCCAGUUCAGAUUGUAGUCUGCAACUCGACUACCUGAAGUUGGAAUCGCUAGUAAUCGCAGAUCAGCAUUGCUGCGGGGGAAUACUUUCCCGGGUCUUGUACACACCGCCCGU
rnacentral:rRNA from 1 species